rnacentral:rRNA from 1 species
GCCUGCCCACUGAAAUAUUUAAUGGCCGCAGUAAUUUGACUGUGCAAAGGUAGCAUAAUCAUUAGUUUUUUAAUUAAAAGCUUGUAUGAAGGGUUUGACGAAAUAAAAUCUGUCUUUAUUUAAAUAAAUUUAGAAUUUAAUUUUUAAGUUAAAAAGCUUAAAUUAAUAUAAAAGACGAGAAGACCCUAUAGAUCUUUAUAUUAUUAUAAUUUAAUUUUGAUUAAGAUUUUUAAAUUUUUUAUUUUAUAUAUUAUUUUAUUGGGGUAAUAAAAAGAUUAAAUUAAUUCUUAUUAAUAUUUUACAUUGAUUAAUGAUUUAAUGAUCCAAUAUUUUUGAUUAAAAGAUUAAGUUACCUUAGGGAUAACAGCGUAAUUUUUUUAGAGAGUUCUUAUCGAUAAAAAAGUUUGCGACCUCGAUGUUGGAUUAAAAAUUGUUUUAGGCGCAGAAGUUUAAAAAUUUGGUCUGUUCGACCAUUAAAUUUUU